AAUGCUGCUGGUCACUUUGAGAACCACUGCUUUAGAAGAUGGUCAGACAGAGUCGGAAGGAGGAGGUUUUACCUAAAAGCGGUCAGGAGUCAGCAGGGGGAACAAGACCUCUUUACCCAGGCAUGGGGUCACUGUUUAAGCAUCUCCACCUACUGCUUCAAAAUUGUUCUCCGAAACAAACUUUCACUAUGUAGUAACUCUACUUUAGGAAAUACUUUUAGAGGCAGAAAAAGAAAAUGAAAUGCUCCAAGAGACUCUAUCUUCUCAUGCACGACUCCAACAGCACUAUCUCACAAGACUCACAUCCUUAUAAGAAGAGGAAGAGACACUAAGGAGAGUGCACACAGAGAGAAGGCCAUGCAAGAAGACAUGGUGAGAAGGUUGUCUGCAAGCCAAGGAGAGAGGUCUCAUGAGAAACCAACUCUACUGACACCUUGAUCCUGGACUUCCGGCCUCCAAAAAUGAGUAAUAAAUUUCUGUUGUCUAGGCCACCCAGUCUGAGAUAUUUUGUUAUGACAGUCCUAGCAAACUAAUACAGGCAUUAAAGUUCUCACAACACCUUGCAAGGUAGGAAUUGAUUAAACCUACUUUACAGGUAUGAAACAGAUUAUGGGAGAUUCAAGAAAUGUCCCAAGAGACACAGAAUCAAUAAUUGGCAUAACUAAGAUUUAACCUAAUUCUGCCCUCCAGACCAAUAUUUUUUUCUCCUUGUCUGUUUUCUAGCUUUAAGCACAUAACGGUGUUAAAAAGUUAGUUUUUAUAUUGACCUGAAUAUUUUAUUCUUGUAUAUUUCAUCACUGGUUUGCGUUCUACUUGGAGUCACA
rnacentral:lncRNA from 1 species